AAUAAUUAAAACUACUUUUAUGGUUAAUUCUAUCGUUUUUAUUGUCAUGUCAACAGACAAUUAGUACAUUAUUCAAAUAUUGACGAACAGCAAUUUGGUCGUCCGUGUUCACGAAAACUGAAGUAUUCCAAAGAGCAUGCAGUGCGUUUAUAACAUUAUCAAGGUACGUCUUCCGUACAAAUACAGUAAUAAAAUCGUUGUCAUGAGAAAACAACUGGUACACCCCACAAUGGCUUGGAAAAUUCACGCACGGACUCCAGCGCGUAAUUUUUCCAGUAGAAAGUUUUAUUAUGUCGUUAAUUGUUGGAAAACGGCACACGAAUCUCCUAUUGGACAUAAAACAGCAAUGAAAUGGAACAACGACAUAUUAACCAAUCAGAAGCGUCGUAAAUGUGUGAUUGAUUGCGAUCGACGAACUGACGGGACGAAAACAAUGUGCCGGCAAACAACGGGAACUAUGCUUUUUACGAUGCAAUUAGAAAGAUAUUCAGUGAGUAAAUAAAUACACGGGACUUUUUGGCGGGAACGCGAGGAGUGAAGUUGUGUGAUUUGUUUGAUUUUGUCUAUUUAGUGUUCCUUCAGGUUUAAACGUGUAAUAACGGUGGUUUAUUAACUGUUUAAUAUCUGUGAAAGUGCACAAAUGUGGGAAAAUGAAACAAAGCCGCUGAACGUAACUUCUCGGGAUCCUCCAAAAAGGCCACUGAAAAAGUCUCAGUAAAUAACCACAAUUUUACUGAGAUUAUAUUAUAUGAUAUUUUGUAAAUUUUAAUCAUUUAUGUCGCGAUUAGUUUCCGUCGUUUUUUAUUAUUCAUAAACUGUAACUAAUAAAAACGGCCAAUUAAAAAAAUCUUAUUACUUGACGCUGGCUAAUGCACAAACCGUGCCGGAGACAAAAAAUAAAAAGAAGAAGAAGAGUAGAUACACUGUGAUCGUCAAAAUUUUAUCAGAGUAUUUGAUAGUAAAAGUAUAAUAUUUUAAGUAUGAUUUAAGAGCAAUAGAUAUUAAAAGAUCAAUUGAUGGUAGGCAAACAGUUUUAUCAUAUUAGAUUAUUAAAGAAAUUUCAUUCUGAAAAUCAGUACCGUAAAAUGGGGCGAUUAGGGACAAAUUCCAACUUUAUGAGCAAUUUUAAGGUAGUUGUUGAUGUAUAUAAUGAUAUAUCAGGAUCAAAAUGAUUGAGUCUUGGGGGCAUCUUUGUUGUCUAAUUUAAAAUUAUGCAACUAGCAUUCCAGUUUAAGCAAAAAAUGCAAAAAUAGGUGUAAUCCCUAUUUACCCGAAAAUUGCGGUUAAUUGGGACGAAAUGAGAAAUUUGCUAGGGUUGGCACUACUUUUAUUUUUAUAUAUAGUUUUAAUUUAUUUAUUUAUUUAGUUGCACCAACAAAGUGAUCAUCAAUAAAAAAAAUUGAAAAACUGACAAAAGUACAUGGCAGACAUCACCUCAAUUAUAGGUGCAAUCGACAGUGCUGAUAUUUCUAUCUGGGUUAAGAGAUUAGGUGUGUCGGUUAUUCCAUGGAUUAAUCAGAUGAAUACCCCCACUCUGAACAAAUAUUAAAUAUUUUAUUAUGUA